GGCUGAAAUUCGCCUUCAUGAAGCUGGAAUUGCUAGUAAUGGCAGGUCAGCAUACUGCCGUGAAUACGUUCCCGGGCCUUGUACACACCGCCCGUCACACCAUGAGAGUUGGAAAUACCCGAAGCCUGUGAGCUAACUGUAAAGAGGCAGCAGUCGAAGGUAGAGCCAAUGAUUGGGGUGAAGUCGUAACAAGGUAGC
rnacentral:rRNA from 1 species